rnacentral:rRNA from 1 species
GAUGAACGCUAGCUACAGGCUUAACACAUGCAAGUCGAGGGGCAGCAUUUUUAUAGCAAUAUAAAAGAUGGCGACCGGCGCACGGGUGAGUAACACGUAUCCAACCUGCCGAUAACUCGGGAGUAACCUUCGAAGAAGGCCUAAUACCCGAUGGCAUAUCCCUUCCGCCUGGUGGGGAUAUUAAAGAACUUCGGUUAUCGAUGGGGAGUGCGUUCCAUUAGUCUUGUUGGCGGGGUAACGGCCCACCAAGGCAUCGAUGGAUA